rnacentral:rRNA from 1 species
CAGCAGUGGGGAAUAUUGGACAAUGGGCGNAAGCCCUGAUCCAGCCAURCCGCGNUGUGUGAAGAAGGUCUUCGGAUUGUAAAGCACUUUAAGUGGGAGGAAGGGCAGUANAUUAAUACUUUGCUGUUUUGACGUUACCGACAGAAUAAGCACCGGCUAACUCUGUGCCAGCAGCCGCGGUAAUACAGAGGGUGCAAGCGUUAAUCGGAAUUACUGGGCGUAAAGCGCGCGUAGGUGGUUNGUUAAGUUGGAUGUGAAAUCCCCGGGCUCAACCUGGGAACUGCAUUCAAAACUGRCAGACUAGAGUACUGUAGAGGGUGGUGAAUUUCCUGUGUAGCGGUAAAUGCGUAGAUAUGGAAGSAACACCAGKGCGAASGCGACC